rnacentral:rRNA from 1 species
UCCAUGCCGUAAACGUUGGGCACUAGGUGUGGGGACAUUCCACGUUUUCCGCGCGGUAGCUAACGCAUUAAGUGCCCCCGCCUGGGGAGUACGGCCGCCAAGGCUAAAACUCAAAGAAUUGACGGGGGCCCGCACAAGCGGCGGAGCAUGCGGAUUAAUUCGAUGCAACGCGAAGAACCUUACCAAGGCUUGACAUGAACCGGAAAGGCCUGGAAACAGGUCCCCCACUUGUGGCCGGUUUACAGGUGGUGCAUGGUUGUCGUCAGCUCGUGUCGUGAGAUGUUGGGUUAAGUCCCGCAACGAGCGCAACCCUCGUUCUAUGUUGCCAGCGCGUUAUGGCGGGGACUCAUAGGAGACUGCCGGGGUCAACUCGGAGGAAGGUGGGGACGACGUCAAAUCAUCAUGCCCCUUAUGUCUUGGGCUUCACGCAUGCUACAAUGGCCGGUACAAAGGGUUGCGAUACUGUGAGGUGGAGCUAAUCCCAAAAAGCCGGUCUCAGUUCGGAUUGAGGUCUGCAACUCGACCUCAUGAAGUUGGAGUCGCUAGUAAUCGCAGAUCAGCAACGCUGCGGUGAAUACGUUCCCGGGCCUUGUACACACCGCCCGUCAAGUCACGAAAGUUGGUAACACCCGAAGCCGGUGGCCUAACCCCUUGUGGGAGGGAGCCGUCGAAGGUGGAUC